rnacentral:rRNA from 1 species
CCUACGGGUGGCAGCAGUGGGGAAUAUUGGACAAUGGGGGGAACCCUGAUCCAGCCAUGCCGCGUGUGUGAAGAAGGCCCUCGGGUUGUAAAGCACUUUCAGUGAGGAAGAACGCCUGGUGGUUAAUACCCAUCAGGAAAGACAUCACUCACAGAAGAAGCACCGGCUAACUACGUGCCAGCAGCCGCGGUAAUACGGAGGGUGCGAGCGUUAAUCGGAAUUACUGGGCGUAAAGCGCGCGUAGGUGGCUUGAUAAGCCGGUUGUGAAAGCCCCGGGCUCAACCUGGGAACGGCAUCCGGAACUGUCAAGCUAGAGUGCAGGAGAGGAAGGUAGAAUUCCCGGUGUAGCGGUGAAAUGCGUAGAGAUCGGGAGGAAUACCAGUGGCGAAGGCGGCCUUCUGGACUGACACUGACACUGAGGUGCGAAAGCGUGGGUAGCAAACAGGAUUAGAUACCCGAGUAGUC